AAACCACGAAUGCAGCGAAAACUUUGCA
rnacentral:sRNA from 1 species